GUAAAACUCACUUAGCAAAUCAUCUUAAUUGGUACCAAAAAAGUGAUGGCUAUGGAAAUAUUGGCAUUUCUAUGUGCAUAACUGAUGUUUUUAUGAGGAUAAGAGGGAGAGAAGAAUCACAUUUCAAAGAAGCUUCUACUGAAAUAAACUAACCAGAAGAACUAAUUGUGGCAUACUUAACAGCUUUGAGCUUUAUGUGUACACUACCUAUGUUUCCUGUUCAGCAAGUGAAUGUCCCCAGGCCGGUAGGGGCAAUGUGAAGAUGAAUCUUAUAUCUCCAAUUUCUCGAAGAACAUUUAUUCAUCUUCCUGGAAUUCACUCAUUGCCAGUUCUUUUAGAAAUACUGACACAGUUAAUAGUGUCUAAUGUCGUGGAUGACUGCCUUCCACCGAUGUCGUGACUUCCCACCCAAGAACCAAUGACUUCUUUCUCUGUGAUUCAGCUCUCCACUGACCCUCAUGGGCAAGAGUGGGGUUUCAGCAAUUAUUCUUUCAACCUCUAUUGAUUAAUCACACGAUAUAAGCCAGACACAGUUCUGGGCAGCAGGAUACAAUAGUGAACAAGACAACCCCAAAUCCCUGCUCUUGUGGAACUGACAUUUUCUCAUGGGGUGUGGGGGUUGGGGAAGAAUGAGAGAUGUUAAAUGCAAAACCAAAAUAAAAGAAAUUUUAAGAUCAUGUGAUAGGGAGUGGCUGGCUGGUCAGGGAUAGCCUCUCCAGGACUGGGACAUUCAUGGGAGUUGACAUGUGAAUUAUGAGAAGAAGCCGACAAUGCCAAGAUCACAUGGCAACACGUUUCAUGCAAAAGAAACAGCCAGCAUGAAGCCUGUGAGCUGGGAACAAGACCGGCUCAGGUCAAGGGACAGACAAAAAGGCCAACAAGGCUGAAAAAGAAUAAGGAAGAGGAGAGGGGUGUGAGGUUCAGCAGGAAAGAUCUGAAGGACUGGGUCAGACAGGGUUCUUCAGGACAUGGAAAAGAAUUUGAAUUUUUUAAAUAAAUGCAAUGAGAAGACACUGGAGAAUUUUAAUCAUGAGGGUAACAUAGUCUGUUUUGCAUUUGAAAACUAACAUUGUGACUGUUAGGCAGCAAAUGAAGUUGCCCUCCCCCAGUCCAUCCCUGGCCGUGGUUGAUCGAAACAUAAGUGACCAUCUUACCCGGUGUGUUUUUUGUCACUAUGGAAUUUGCAUUUAGGAACAAA
rnacentral:lncRNA from 10 species